rnacentral:rRNA from 1 species
CCCCCUUGUGGUCGGUGUACAGGUGGUGCAUGGCUGUCGUCAGCUCGUGUCGUGAGAUGUUGGGUUAAGUCCCGCAACGAGCGCAACCCUUGUUCUGUGUUGCCAGCAUGCCCUUCGGGGUGAUGGGGACUCACAGGAGACUGCCGGGGUCAACUCGGAGGAAGGUGGGGACGACGUCAAGUCAUCAUGCCCCUUAUGUCUUGGGCUGCACACGUGCUACAAUGGCAGGUACAAUGAGCUGCGAAGCCGUGAGGCGGAGCGAAUCUCAAAAAGCCUGUCUCAGUUCGGAUUGGGGUCUGCAACUCGACCCCAUGAAGUCGGAGUUGCUAGUAAUCGCAGAUCAGCAGUGCUGCGGUGAAUACGUUMMCGGGUCUUGUACACACC